rnacentral:rRNA from 1 species
UACGAGGGGUGCAAGCGUUGCUCGGAAUUAUUGGGCGUAAAGGGCAGGUAGGUGGUCUUAUUUGUCUGGGGUGAAAGCCUUGAGCUUAACUCAAGAAGUGCCCCAGAAACGGUAAGACUAGAGUCUUGGAGAGGGUCGUGGAAUUCCCGGUGUAGCGGUGAAAUGCGUAGAGAUCGGGAGGAACACCAGAGGCGAAGGCGGCGACCUGGACAAGUACUGACACUCAACUGCGAAAGCGUGGGGAGCAAACAGG